UACAUAUGGGGCAAGCGUUGUUCGGAAUUACUGGGCAUAAAGGGUGCGUAGGUGGUCUAUUAAGUCAGGGGUGAAAUCCCGCGGCCCAACCGUGGAACGGCCUUUGAUACUGAUGGACUUGAGUGCGUGAGGGGUAGGGGGAACGAGCAGUGUAGCGGUGAAAUGCGUAGAUAUCAAGAGGAACACCUGAGGCGAAGGCGGGUUGCUAGGCUGACACUGACGCUGAGGCGCGAAAGCCAGGGGAGCAAACGGG
rnacentral:rRNA from 1 species